CCCCAAAUCAAACGGAUUAAAUCCCAAAAUCAGAGACCCAAAACCUAAACCACUCUUCUCUCGCUUCUCCAAUAAACCAAAAUCCUCAUCGCCGACGAUUCUUCAGUAAUGGUGAAUACACGCUUGGCUGGAGCAGCGAAGGAUGACGGAAAAGCGACUGCAACUAUUCUACACGCGUCAAAUGUAAAGGCUGCUGGAAGAGAUGACCCAAAACAAGGUACUGUGGUAGAGAAUGUUGAUGCAGCUGACUUACAAGAAUGCGGAGAUCAAUGUUGAAAAAUGAUAGCAAACUACAUAUCUUAAGCAAUUGCUAUAUGUCAUAAAUAAAAAGACUGGAACUUUGUUUCAUUUUUUUUUAGUUUACCACUGUUUUAAAUUAAGGAUGUUUAAACAGUUUAGCUUUACAUAUUUGGAUGGUGUUUUAGAAGUGGCAUCAGAUGUUAUUGUUUCUUCAAUUUAUAUAUGAAUACUAGUGCCAAACAAGCUCUUUUUUAUGUCAUACUCUA